rnacentral:rRNA from 1 species
GCCAGACUCCUACGGGAGGCAGCAGUGGGGAAUAUUGCACAAUGGGGGAAACCCUGAUGCAGCAACGCCGCGUGAGUGAGGAAGUAUUUCGGUAUGUAAAGCUCUAUCAGCAGGGAAUAGAAAAGAAGGUACCUGAAAAAGAAGCCCCGGCUAACUACGUGCCAGCAGCCGCGGUAAUACGUAGGGGGCAAGCGUUAUCCGGAUUCACUGGGUGUAAAGGGAGCGUAGACGGCGGCGCAAGUCAGAAGUGAAAGCCCAAGGCUCAACCAUGGGACUGCUUUUGAAACUGUCAAACUGGAGUACGGGAGAGGUAAGAGGAAUUCCUAGUGUAGCGGUGAAAUGCGUAGAUAUUAGGAGGAACACCAGUGGCGAAGGCGUCUUACUGGACCGAAACUGACGUUGAGGCUCGAAAGCGUGGGGAGCAAACAGGAUUAGAUACCCGUGUAC